UACGUAGGGUGCAAGCGUUGUCCGGAAUUAUUGGGCGUAAAGAGCUCGUAGGCGGUCUGUCGCGUCGGCUGUGAAAACCCGAGGCUCAACCUCGGGCCUGCAGUCGAUACGGGCAAACUAGAGUACUGCAGGGGAGACUGGAAUUCCUGGUGUAGCGGUGAAAUGCGCAGAUAUCGAGAGGAGCACCAGUGGCGAAGGCGAGUCUCUGGACGACUCCUGACACUGAGGCACGAAAGCCGGGGGAGCAAACAGG
rnacentral:rRNA from 1 species